CCUACGGGGGGCAGCAGUGAGGAAUAUUGGUCAAUGGACGCAAGUCUGAACCAGCCAUGCCGCGUGCAGGAAGACGGCUCUAUGAGUUGUAAACUGCUUUUGUACGGGGGUAAACGCAGAUACGCGUAUCUGUCUGAAAGUAUCGUACGAAUAAGGAUCGGCUAACUCCGUGCCAGCAGCCGCGGUAAUACGGAGGAUUCAAGCGUUAUCCGGAUUUAUUGGGUUUAAAGGGUGCGUAGGCGGUCGGAUAAGUUAGAGGUGAAAUUCCGAGGCUCAACUUCGGAAUUGCAGAUGAUACUGGUCGGCUAGAGAGUAGUAGCGGUAGGCGGAAUGUGUGGUGUAGCGGUGAAAUGCUUAGAGAUCAUACAGAACACCGAUUGCGAAGGCAGCUUACCAAGCUACUUCUGACGCUGAGGCACGAAAGCGUGGGGAGCAAACAGGAUUAGAUACCCUAGUAGUC
rnacentral:rRNA from 1 species